GCCUUAUUUCGUUUGCCCAUCAGACGCUUUUUUACUUGGCAUCAUCAAAUUCCUCUCUAAUCCAAUAGUAAAUCAUAAUCCAGCCACUGGUAAGCAGCACCAACAGCUGUUCCCGUGUUCAUGUAAAAGGGCUGAAAGAGAAGGAGUCAGGGGCUCUGAUUCCAAUUCUGCCGUUGACAUCUCAGUGCAACUUCAUGCAGUGAGCGUGGAGGUGAUGACUGUAGAGAUGAUGGUGGAGGUAAUGGCGGGAAUGAUGAUGGAGGUGAUGGUGUAGGGAUGGCAGAAGUGGUGGCAGAGGUGGCGACAGCGAUGAUGGAGGUGAUGGUGAAGGCAUGGUGGAGGGAAUGAUUGUGGAAAUGAUGGUGGAGAUAAUGGCAGGAGUGAUGAUGGAGGUGAUUGUGGAGGGAUGGUGGAGGUGACGAUUGUGGAGAUGAUGGUGGAGGUAAUGGUGGGAGCAGGGAUGGAGCUGAUGGUGGAGGUAAUGGUGGGAGCAGGGAUGGAGCUGAUGGUGGAGGGAUGACAGAAGUGGUGGCAGAGGUGGCGGGAGUGAUUGUGGAGGUGAUCAUUUUGGAGGUGAUGGUAGGAAAUGAUGGAGGUGAUGAAGGGAUGGCAAAAGUGGUGGCAGAGGUGGUGGCAGUGAUCAUGGAGGUGACGGUGGGAGUGGUGGGAGAUGAUAGAGUUGAUGGUAGUGAUUGUGGAGGUAAUGGUGGAGGUGAUGGGGAUGAUGGUGAGGCUAAUGAGGGUAAUGGCAGAGAUGAUAGUGGAGGUGAUGGUGAAGAUAAUGGAAGGUAAUGGCAGAGAUGAUGGCGAGGGUGAUGGUAGAGGUGGUGGUGAAGAUGAUGGUGAGGAUGAUGGUGGGGGUGAUGGAGGAAGGAUGGUGAGGGUGAUUGUGGAAAUGGUGGCAGAGGUGAUGGCAGCUGGCAUUUAGUGAGCAUAUCCCAGAUGUCAGACCCUGACAGUCCAAGUGCUCCUGUCCACACCCUCACUUUGUCUUAAAUGAGUGUAGAUGUCUUAGUUCUGGUUCCCAAAAUAGAGCCUCAGACUAGGACGUGGGUGCUGGUGGUUUGUCUGGAAGGCCAUCUUGGAAGCUGGCAUGGGAGCAGGGAGAAGGUGUUGGAAAAGGAGCAAAGUCAAGGACAAGGGCACAUUGUCAAGAUCGCUGCUGCAGGCAGAGGUCUCUGCCGCCUCACAGGGCCUCACCAACCCUUCCUGCCCUUCACACCAGUCCCUACCACCACCACAUCCCCCGUCUUUCCCCUGUGCUUCUUCCUUUCUCUUACGUAGCACACAACAGAACCUCCAGUCCUCCAAACACCAGCAAAGCUACAAAUUAGUAUGUCUUUCUCCACAUCCUACAGGUAUGAAGUAAAAAUACUGCUUCUCUCAGUGUCAUGACUAUAAGAUCGUGAAAAGAGUUAUUAAAGCCCUAAAGGCUUUUGUUUUUACACCUGAAAAUGACAACACUCAUUUUUCUAGGAGAUACUUGUUUCAAGAAAUUACCAAGGUCAAUGUUAUCA
rnacentral:lncRNA from 1 species